GGUGAUUUAGCUCAGCGGCAUAAGCGCCUGCCUUGCAAGCAGGCAGUCGUGAGUUCGAUUCCCGUACCG
rnacentral:tRNA from 1 species